UGAUGCCAAGGUCAAAAAAGUAUUAAGCCGUUCGUGCUGGCACGAAAUAGGCUUAAUACCUUUUUGAGCGCUAAAACAUGAGAAAGUAGCAAAUUGCUGGUGAAGCCGGCAAUUUAGCGGAUUCCGAAUGUUUUAAGGAUUACGAAAGUUGCGUAGCAACGAAGUAAUCCGCGGCAUCA
rnacentral:sRNA from 1 species